rnacentral:misc_RNA from 1 species
GAAGAAGAAGAAGAGGAAGAGAGGUUCUUGGCCUGAGAGAUUGACCUAAGAUGGGUCUUGGCAUGUUGGUGAACUGACCUUAAUGCAUAGUUCCACCUACAAAAACCUUGGUCUUUCAAUGCCUCCACAGCUCCGAUGCUUGCUGCAACCAUCCAAGCUUUGCUCGCUGAACUCAUUUUGUUAAAGAAAUAGAAAAACAAAUGGGACACUUUUGAUAGUAUAGCAGUAGGAUGUAAGAUAUCAAGAAGUGGUGGUUUGAUGAAGCAAAUGAGUAGCCGGAGUAGCUUAUAUAUGAGAAAAGAGUGCCAAAAGUUUUGGGGGGAAAACCAGAGGCUAUAG